UUCCUUUCUCUCCUUAUCAUCUAUUUCCUCUCCUUCUCUCUAAGCUAAGGAAAAAGGGUUGAGUUUGAUGUUGGCAGCUGGAGGACUUGUGGGCUGAGGAGAGAUCUGAUCCAAGCAAGAAAUUUCUGCUGAUUGGAGUUGCUAUAUAACCUGGAAUAGCAUUUAAUCAAGGGAGCCUGGGUGCUUUUGGACUUGGAGCUGAAUGAAAUUGAGCUGAGCACCACUUUGGGGAAUUUCGAAUUCAGAGGGUUUAAAGGAAAAGGCUAAAGAGUAAUUGCUGUUUGAUGAUUCUGGAGUUGGCAGCUUGAUGACUUGAUGUUGUUGGUGCUGCCGAACUGGAGGAAAGGGCCAAUUGAAGCACUGAGCAAGUUGAUUCAUCAUCAAACUAAAAAUUGGAGCUGAAAAUUGCAAUCUUGGUGGAACUUGGUGAAUUCCUGCAGCAGUGACCCUUUGGAAUUUGCUGCGAGAAGUGGAAUAAUAGAAGCUUUAGCUGAGAGCAACUUGAUGGAAACCUAAAUUAAGCAUUAGAGCUUUGAGCUGAUUGGAGCUGACAAGUGAAGUGGAUCCAUUGGUGUAGUCCUGCUGUCCGAAUUGAGAGUAUGGCUGCAGUUAAUGCUUUGAGUGAGUCUCUUGAUGCUUCGGGCUGAAAUAAAGACUGCAGAAAUUGAUAGUAGCUCAGCUCAGCCUUGAGGCCGACGACGCGCUAAUUAUGGUAGAGACCGUUCUAGUUCUAAUUGCACUGAGUCGCGAGAGCUAGUUGUCGACACAUUUCGAGACGUGGAUUCUAGUUGUUAACACCACUACAGGUUCCAAUGCGAGCGUUGUGGCCGAGGAUCGCGGCAAGAGCCCUGCAGCCUAGCUAGCAGACACCAGUGUUUAGUGGUAUACCAUUUUGAGUUCAUGUGAGACAUUUUGAUGUACAGAGUCAUGUAAAUUAAUGUAUUAUAAAGCCUGUAAAUAACUAAAUAUUUCAGUUAUCCAGUUAUGUAAAGUUCAGUUUAAAA